rnacentral:rRNA from 1 species
CCUACGGGAGGCAGCAGUGGGGAAUUUUGGACAAUGGGGGCAACCCUGAUCCAGCCAUUCCGCGUGAGUGAAGAAGGCCUUCGGGUUGUAAAGCUCUUUCGCAAGGGAAGAAAACUUAUGGUCGAAUAAAUCAUGAGGUUGACGGUACCUUGAUAAGAAGCACCGGCUAACUACGUGCCAGCAGCCGCGGUAAUACGUAGGGUGCGAGCGUUAAUCGGAAUUACUGGGCGUAAAGCGUGCGCAGGCGGUUUUGUAAGUCGGAUGUGAAAUCCCCGGGCUCAACCUGGGAACUGCGUUCGAAACUGCAAGGCUAGAGUGUGUCAGAGGGGGGUAGAAUUCCACGUGUAGCAGUGAAAUGCGUAGAGAUGUGGAGGAAUACCAAUGGCGAAGGCAGCCUCCUGGGAUAACACUGACGCUCAUGCACGAAAGCGUGGGGAGCAAACAGGAUUAGAUACCCUGGUAGUCCACGCCCUAAACGAUGUCAACUAGUUGUUGGUAGAGUAAAAUCUAUGAGUAACGUAGCUAACGCGUGAAGUUGACCGCCUGGGGGAGGUACGGUCGCGAGAUUAAACGUUAAAGUAAGUAGACGNGAGAGCGAGACGACGACGAGGAGAGGAG